AGGAAAUGGAUCGUGCAUCCCAAGCCAAGACUCAUAACAUUAGAGGGUGGUGAAAUCACAAUGACCCAUGAGAUGGUUACAACUAUUUUUCAUAGGCUUGGCCAAGUUGAUUUGUUUUUCUCAAAGGACAGUAUUGGACGGAUAUGGAGGAAAUUUGUUGAGCCCGACUUUGCUACAAUUGUUUUGGCGAACACCGACCCAAUGACCGUACAAUCAAUCAGGGCUAGCCUCCAAGAAGGAACAACAUCCUGCAACCCAUCUUCAUGCCGAAUGUGGUACAUCCCGGCGAUACUACCUGAUGGUUGGACAGUUAUGCUUUUGAUAUGUUGCAGAAAAGAAUAAUUGUAUUUGACCCAGCUGUUAGCCCGUUUGGGUAUAGCAACCGCCGAGUCAGCAUGCAUGAAUUUGUUAGCAACAAACUCCACGCCGCGUUGUUCACAUGCCUCCAGAAUUUCUUCAGCUCUUGGCAUUGGGAAUCAAGCCACUAGGGACGCACUUUCCCGAUCAUAAUGAGGGAAAAGAUUGAGAAAGAGCAGACUGGGUUGUGUGCCACCUUCUUUGAAUGGAAUUACAAUGACGACAAGCUACAGACACCACUAAACAAAGAGACGCUUACAUCACACAGCAGCCUGAUGAUAUAUGAACUAAUGAGGAUGCAAGGCAACUAAACUCUAGUGGCAAACGACGCCCUUGAAGCGGUGAAAGUAUCGUUCAUUGCUCUUUAGAAUAGAGGGGGGUGAUUAGACUACUUAA